UGGCGACCGGCGCACGGGUGAGUAACACGUAUCCAACCUGCCUCAUACUCGGGGAUAGCCUUUCGAAAGAAAGAUUAAUAUCCGAUAGCAUAUAUUUCCCGCAUGGGUUUUAUAUUAAAGAAAUUCGGUAUGAGAUGGGGAUGCGUUCCAUUAGUUUGUUGGCGGGGUAACGGCCCACCAAGACUACGAUGGAUAGGGGUUCUGAGAGGAAGGUCCCCCACAUUGGAACUGAGACACGGUCCAAACUCCUACGGGAGGCAGCAGUGAGGAAUAUUGGUCAAUGGACGCGAGUCUGAACCAGCCAAGUAGCGUGAAGGAUGACUGCCCUAUGGGUUGUAAACUUCUUUUAUAUGGGAAUAAAGUGGUCCACGUGUGGAUUUUUGUAUGUACCAUAUGAACAAGGAUCGGCUAACUCCGUGCCAGCAGCCGCGGUAAUACGGAGGAUCCGAGCGUUAUCCGGAUUUAUUGGGUUUAAAGGGAGCGUAGGCGGAUUGUUAAGUCAGUUGUGAAAGUUUGCGGCUCAACCGUAAAAUUGCAGUUGAUACUGGCAGUCUUGAGUGCAGUAGAGGUGGGCGGAAUUCGUGGUGUAGCGGUGAAAUGCUUAGAUAUCACGAAGAACUCCGAUUGCGAAGGCAGCU
rnacentral:rRNA from 1 species